rnacentral:tRNA from 1 species
GCCUGGCUGGCUCUGUGGGUGGAGCAUGAGACUCUUGAUCUCAGGGGCGUGAGAUCAAGCCCCAUGUUGAGCC